rnacentral:lncRNA from 1 species
CCACCCCAAAGUCUAUAGUUGAUUAUAGACGUCGGUUCCCACUACAGUCGACGUCUAUAUAUACCACGAAUAUUAUCUUUUAAAUCGAACGGACAUCAGACUAGUGAGGUCUCCGACGUAUAUUCCAUUAUAGACGCCGGUCUCCUGGGCAACCGACAUCUCAUUUCUUGUUAAAUGAGUGAUUGUGAACCAGCAGUUUCGCGCACUAGUUUCUCCUG